UCCCUCGUAGUUCAGUCGGUAGAACGGCGGACUGUUAAUCCGUAUGUCACUGGUUCGAGUCCAGUCGAGGGAGCCA
rnacentral:tRNA from 3 species